rnacentral:rRNA from 1 species
UACAGAGGUCUCAAGCGUUGUUCGGAUUCAUUGGGCGUAAAGGGCGCGUAGGCUGCGGGGCAAGUCGGGUGUGAAAUCUCAGAGCUCAACUCCGAAACUGCAUUCGAUACUGCCGUGCUUGAGGACUGGAGAGGAGACUGGAAUUUACGGUGUAGCGGUGAAAUGCGUAGAUAUCGUAAGGAAGACCAGUGGCGAAGGCGGGUCUCUGGACAGUUCCUGACGCUGAGGCACGAAGGUCAGGGGGAGCAAACGGGG